UCAAACUUUUGAUGGCGACCGGCGCACGGGUGAGUAACACGUAUCCAACCUGCCUCAUACUCGGGGAUAGCCUUUCGAAAGAAAGAUUAAUACCCGAUGUUAUAGUCCUACCGCAUGAUGGGAUUAUUAAAGAAUUUCGGUAUGGGAUGGGGAUGCGUUCCAUUAGUUAGUUGGGCGGGGGUAACGGCCCACCAAGACAACGAUGGAUAGGGGGUUCUGAGAGGAAGGUCCCCCACAUUGGAACUGAGACACGGUCCAAACUCCUACGGGAGGCAGCAG
rnacentral:rRNA from 1 species